GAUGAACGCUGGCGGCGUGCCUAAUACAUGCAAGUCGAACGCGCCGAGAAGGGAACUUGUUCCUUUCAACGCGAGUGGCGAACGGGUGAGUAACACGUGGGAAACCUACCCUUCAGCGGGGGAUAACCAUCGGAAACGAUGACUAAUACCGCAUAGUUGUUCCAGUCGCAUGACUGGAAUGGGAAAGACGGCUUCGGCUGUCACUGAAGGAUGGUCCCGCGGUGCAUUAGCUAGACGGUGGGGUAACGGCCUACCGUGGCUUUGAUGCAUAGCCGACCUGAGAGGGUGAUCGGCCACAUUGGGACUGAGACACGGCCCAAACUCCUACGGGAGGCAGCAGUAGGGAAUCUUCCGCAAUGGGCGCAAGUCUGACGGAGCAACGCCGCGUGUGUGAAGAAGGUCUUCGGAUCGUAAAGCACUGUUAUCAGGGAAGAAUAGCCUAUAGAGUAACUGUUAUAGGUUUGACGGUAACUGAUCAGAAAGCCACGGCUAACUACGUG
rnacentral:rRNA from 1 species